rnacentral:rRNA from 1 species
CCUACGGGAGGCAGCAGUGAGGACUAUUGGUCAAUGGACGCAAGUCUGAACCAGCCAUGCCGCGUGCAGGAAGACGGCUCUCUGAGUUGUAAACUGCUUUUGUACGAGGGUAAACGCAGAUACGCGUAUCUGUCUGAAAGUAUCGUACGAAUAAGGAUCGGCUAACUCCGUGCCAGCAGCCGCGGUAAUACGGAGGAUUCAAGCGUUAUCCGGAUUUAUUGGGUUUAACGGGUGCGUAGGCGGUCGGAUAAGUUAGAGGUGAAAGCCCGAGGCUCAACUUCGGAAUUGCCUCUGAUACUGUUCGGCUAGAGAGUAGUUGCGGUAGGCGGAAGGUAUGGUGUAGCGGUGAAAUGCUUAGAGAUCAUACAGAACACCGAGUGCGAAGGCAGCUUACCAAGCUACUUCUGACGUUGAGGCACGAAAGCGUGGGGAGCAAACAGGAUUAGAUACCCUAGUAGUC